CCUACGGGAGGCAGCAGUGAGGAAUAUUGGUCAAUGGACGCGAGUCUGAACCAGCCAAGUAGCGUGAAGGAUGACUGUCCUAUGGGUUGUAAACUUCUUUUAUAAGGGAAUAAAACAAGCCACGUGUGCCGUUUUGAAUGUACUUUAUGAAUAAGCAUCGGCUAACUCCGUGCCAGCAGCCGCGGUAAUACGGAGGAUCCGAGCGUUAUCCGGAUUUAUUGGGGUUAAAGGGAGCGUAGAUGGGUUGAUAAGUCAGUUGGGAAAUUUUGAGGCUCAACCCUAAAAGUGCAAUUGAUACUGGUAGUCUUGAGUGCAGUAGAGGUAAGCGGAAUUCGUGGUGUAGCGGUGAAAUGCAUAGAUAUCACGAAGAACCCCGAUUGCGAAGGCAGCUUACU
rnacentral:rRNA from 1 species